rnacentral:rRNA from 1 species
UGGGGAAUAUUGGACAAUGGGGGCAACCCUGAUCCAGCAAUGCCGCGUGUGUGAAGAAGGUCUUCGGAUUGUAAAGCACUUUCGACGGGGACGAUGAUGACGGUACCCGUAGAAGAAGCCCCGGCUAACUUCGUGCCAGCAGCCGCGGUAAUACGAAGGGGGCUAGCGUUGCUCGGAAUGACUGGGCGUAAAGGGCGUGUAGGCGGUUUACACAGUCAGAUGUGAAAUCCCCGGGCUUAACCUGGGAGCUGCAUUUGAUACGUGUAGACUAGAGUGUGAGAGAGGGUUGUGGAAUUCCCAGUGUAGAGGUGAAAUUCGUAGAUAUUGGGAAGAACACCGGUGGCGAAGGCGGCAACCUGGCUCAUGACUGACGCUGAGGCGCGAAAGCGUGGGGAGCAAACAGGAUUAGAUACCCUGGUAGUCCACGCUGUAAACGAUGUGUGCUAGAUGUUGGGUAACUUUGUUAUUCAGUGUCGCAGUUAACGCGUUAAAGCAC